AUGGAUUUGCCGUGGCUGGACCUCCCCUUCACCUUCCUCACGCUGCUCCUGGCCACCCGCCUGGCGUACGACUACUACGGCGUCGUCGCCGCCACCUUCGCCGGCAGCUUCGCGCUCCAGAUCUUCCUCUUCUACUGCUUCGCGCGCUGGUAUCGCCACACCAUGGGCGCCCGCGCCGAGCUGCUCCCCUCGUCGACGACGUCGCAGCAGCGCGACGAGGGGUCCCCGCCCGUCCUGACCCCGCUGCUGGAGGCGUCGAGCGGGGCCGGCGCCGCCGCGGCCGCGGGGGCCCUGCUGGCCAACCGGUGCCUGGCCUUCGUGUUCAUGGUGUUCGUCCCGCUCAUCAUCGUCGUCUUCGAGCGGAGCCAGGCGGACGUCGUCGCCUACGCGCUCUGCCUCGCCAACAUACUCGUCAUGGUCGUCUGGCUCUCGCCGGAGGCGCCCGGCUCCAUGUCGGCCACCAAGUCCUUCCUGGGGCUCAGCGACGACGAGGACGAGGAGAGCGGCGGCGCCGAGGACAAGUGCUGCGUCUGCCUCGCCGGCAUGCGGGAGGAGCAGGCCCUCCGGGACCUGCCGCGGUGCGGGCACCGGUUCCAUGAGAAGUGCAUCGGCAAGUGGCUCAAGACCGGGCACCCGACAUGCCCCGUGUGCCGGGCGCUGGUCUUGCCGCCGCCGGCCGUGCACGCGGACCCGUUCGACGACUCUGUUAGCCCCGUCUAG
rnacentral:rRNA from 1 species